rnacentral:rRNA from 1 species
GGUCAAGCGAAUAAGUGCAUGUGGUGGAUGCCUUGGCGAUCACAGGCGAUGAAGGACGUAGUAGCUUGCGAAAAGCUGCGGGGAGCUGGCAAACGAGCUUUGAUCCGCAGAUGUCCGAAUGGGGAAACCCGGCCCGUAUGGGUCAUCCCUUGCUGAAUACAUAGGCAAGGGAGGCGAACGCAGUGAACUGAAACAUCUAAGUAGCUGCAGGAAAAGAAAUCAACCGAGAUUCCCAGAGUAGUGGCGAGCGAAAUGGGAACAGCCUUGUACUCUUUAGCAGUAUUGUUAGCGGAACGGAAUGGAAAGUCCGGCCAUAGUGGGUGAUAGCCCCGUACGCGAAAACAGUAUUGUGGAACUAGGUGUACGACAAGUAGGGCGGGACACGUGAAAUCCUGUCUGAAGAUGGGGGGACCAUCCUCCAAGGCUAAAUACUCGUGANNNNNNNNNNNNNNNNNNNNNNNNNNNNNNNNNNNNNNNNNNNNNNNNNNNNNNNNNNNNNNNNNNNNNNNNNNNNNNNNNNNNNNNNNNNNNNNNNNNUCGACCGAUAGUGAACCAGUACCGUGAGGGAAAGGCGAAAAGAACCCCGGGAGGGGAGUGAAAUAGAUCCUGAAACCGCAUGCAUACAAACAGUCGGAGCCUGGAAACGGGUGACGGCGUACCUUUUGUAUAAUGGGUCAGCGACUUACAUUCAGUGGCAAGCUUAACCGAUUAGGGAAGGCGUAGCGAAAGCGAGUCCGAAUAGGGCGUUCAGUCGCUGGGUGUAGACCCGAAACCAAGUGAUCUAUCCAUGGCCAGGUUGAAGGUGCGGUAACACGUACUGGAGGACCGAACCCACUAACGUUGAAAAGUUAGGGGAUGAGCUGUGGAUAGGGGUGAAAGGCUAAACAAACUUGGAAAUAGCUGGUUCUCUCCGAAAACUAUUUAGGUAGUGCCUCGUGUCUCACCUUCGGGGGUAGAGCACUGUCAUGGUUGGGGGGUCUAUUGCUGAUUACCCCGCCAUAGCAAACUCCGAAUACCGAAGAGUGCAAUCACGGGAGACAGACAUCGGGUGCUAACGUCCGGUGUCAAGAGGGAAACAACCCAGACCGCCAGCUAAGGUCCCUAAGAUUGGCUAAGUGGGAAACGAAGUGGGAAGGCUAAAACAGUCAGGAGGUUGGCUUAGAAGCAGCCACCCUUUAAAGAAAGCGUAAUAGCUCACUGAUCGAGUCGUCCUGCGCGGAAGAUGUAACGGGGCUAAGCCAGUCACCGAAGCUGCGGAUGCACGUAAGUGCAUGGUAGGAGAGCGUUCUGUAAGCCUGUGAAGGUGUCUUGUAAAGGAUGCUGGAGGUAUCAGAAGUGCGAAUGCUGACAUGAGUAGCGAUAAAGGGGGUGAAAGGCCCCCUCGCCGUAAGCCCAAGGUUUCCUACGCAACGUUCAUCGGCGUAGGGUGAGUCGGCCCCUAAGGCGAGGCAGAGAUGCGUAGCUGAUGGGAAGCAGGUUAAUAUUCCUGCACCGUCGUAUGAUGCGAUGGGGGGACGGAUCGCGGAAGGUUGUCCGGGUGUUGGAAGUCCCGGUCCCUACAUUGGAGAUGGCACUUAGGCAAAUCCGGGUGCGUGAUUCAAGGGUGUGGGGCGAGCGACGUUAGGUCGCGAAGCAAUUGGAAGUGGUUCCAAGAAAAGCCUCUAAGCUUCAGUCAUACGAGACCGUACCGCAAACCGACACAGGUGGGCGAGAUGAGUAUUCUAAGGCGCUUGAGAGAACUCGGGAGAAGGAACUCGGCAAAUUGGUACCGUAACUUCGGGAUAAGGUACGCCCUUGUAGUUUGACUGGCUCGCGCCAGAAGGAUGAAGGGGUUGCAAUAAAAUGGUGGCUGCGACUGUUUAAUAAAAACACAGCACUCUGCAAACACGAAAGUGGACGUAUAGGGUGUGACGCCUGCCCGGUGCCGGAAGAUUAAAUGAUGGGGUGCAAGCUCUUGAUUGAAGUCCCGGUAAACGGCGGCCGUAACUAUAACGGUCCUAAGGUAGCGAAAUUCCUUGUCGGGUAAGUUCCGACCUGCACGAAUGGCGUAACGAUGGCCACACUGUCUCCUCCCGAGACUCAGCGAAGUUGAAGUGUUUGUGAUGAUGCAAUCUCCCCGCGGCUAGACGGAAAGACCCCAUGAACCUUUACUGUAGCUUUGCAUUGGACUUUGAACCGAUCUGUGUAGGAUAGGUGGGAGGCUUUGAAACCGGGACGCUAGUUUCGGUGGAGCCGACCUUGAAAUACCACCCUGGUUUGUUUGAGGUUCUAACCUUGGCCCGUGAAUCCGGGUCGGGGACAGUGCAUGGUAGGCAGUUUGACUGGGGCGGUCUCCUCCCAAAGUGUAACGGAGGAGUUCGAAGGUACGCUUGGUACGGUCGGACAUCGUACCUAAAGUGCAAUGGCAAAAGCGUGCUUAACUGCGAGACCGACAAGUCGAGCAGGUGCGAAAGCAGGACAUAGUGAUCCGGUGGUUCUGUAUGGAAGGGCCAUCGCUCAACGGAUAAAAGGUACUCUGGGGAUAACAGGCUGAUACCGCCCAAGAGUUCAUAUCGACGGCGGUGUUUGGCACCUCGAUGUCGGCUCAUCUCAUCCUGGGGCUGUAGCCGGUCCCAAGGGUAUGGCUGUUCGCCAUUUAAAGAGGUACGUGAGCUGGGUUUAAAACGUCGUGAGACAGUUUGGUCCCUAUCUGCCGUGGGCGUUGGAAUCUUGACGGGGGCUGCUCCUAGUACGAGAGGACCGGAGUGGACGUACCGCUGGUGUACCUGUUGUCUCGCCAGAGGCAUCGCAGGGUAGCUAUGUACGGAAGAGAUAACCGCUGAAAGCAUCUAAGCGGGAAACUCGCCUGAAGAUGAGGAUUCCCUGGAGACUUGAUCUCCCUGAAGGGUCGUUCGAGACCAGGACGUUGAUAGGCUGGGUGUGGAAGCGCAGUAAUGCGUUCAGCUAACCAGUACUAAUUGCCCGUGCGGCUUGAUCCU